rnacentral:rRNA from 1 species
UACGAACGCUGGCGGCGUGCCUAAUACAUGCAAGUCGAACGCAGUGGGGACGGGUGAGUAACACGUUGGUAACCUCCCAUCAGAGGGGAUAACACUUGGACACAGGUGCUAAACCGAUACUGAUGGAUGAACCCGCGGUGCAUUAGCUAGUUGGUGAGGUAACGGCUCUCCAAGGCCACGAUGCAUAGCCGACCUGAGAGGGUGAUCAGUCACACUGGGACUGAGACACGGUCCAGACUCCUACGGGAGGCAGCAGUAGGGAAUCUUUGGCAAUGGACGAAAGUCUGACCGAGCCACGCCGCGUGAGUGAAGAAGGUUUUCGGAUCGUAAAGCUCUGUUGUUGGAGAAGCGGUAGCUAACGAGAAAGCCACGGCUAACUACGUGCCAGCAGCCGCGGUAAUAC